rnacentral:rRNA from 1 species
CCUACGGGAGGCAGCAGUAGGGAAUCUUCCGCAAUGGACGAAAGUCUGACGGAUCAACGCCGCGUGAACGAUGAAGGCCUUCGGGUCGUAAAGUUCUGUUGUCAGGGAAGAACAAGUACCGGAGUAACUGCCGGUACCUUGACGGUACCUGACCAGAAAGCCACGGCUAACUACGUGCCAGCAGCCGCGGUAAUACGUAGGUGGCAAGCGUUGUCCGGAAUUAUUGGGCGUAAAGCGCGCGCAGGCGGUUCCUUAAGUCUGAUGUGAAAGCCCCCGGCUCAACCGGGGAGGGUCAUUGGAAACUGGGGAACUUGAGUGCAGAAGAGGAGAGCGGAAUUCCACGUGUAGCGGUGAAAUGCGUAGAGAUGUGGAGGAACACCAGUGGCGAAGGCGGCUCUCUGGUCUGUAACUGACGCUGAGGCGCGAAAGCGUGGGGAGCGAACAGGAUUAGAUACCCUGGUAGUCCACGCCGUAAACGAUGAGUGCUAAGUGUUAGAGGGUUUCCGCCCUUUAGUGCUGCAGCAAACGCAUUAAGCACUCCGCCUGGGGAGUACGGCCGCAAGGCUGAAACUCAAAGGAAUUGACGG